CGUUACUUUUUCAAGUUCUUUAGGAAACACAAAAAUGAUAUGACAGUUGCUUUGGCUAUGCAAAAAUUAACAGUGGUUUAAGAGGAUAAAUAAUCAUGCAGUUAAGCAAUAGAACCAACAAAUAGAACAUUUAAACAGUUAACAUUAUAACAUCCACAAACUGUAGAGUAUUUCUGAUUAGUUUAUUGGCUUGUAUUGCUAUUUUACUGUGGCUUAAAUUAUAAGAAUAAACAUCGAUACAAAAUGUAUUGUCUAUAGCCUUUAUUAAUAAGAAGUAAACUUUAUAUUACAGUAAAAGAAAAACUCAUAAUUUACCUUUCAGGGCCGUAGAAAUAAGUUCAGUGAAGGUCUUGAAAAACUAGUAAAAUAGCCUAAGUCACAUUUUGUUUAGAUUUAGGAAUAACACAUUAAAGUCACACAUUAUCCAAAAGAGGAAGAAUAAUUUAAUGAUUAAAUAAUCUGAUUAGUUGAGGGUGUAAGCAAUUUUACCACAGGUAACCAUGCAGAAUCAUAAGGCGAUGAUUUAGGCAAAAAAGUAUCUUGGCUAAAUAUUGGAUUUUUUUUAGGAAGGUAAAGAUAUUUAAGACCUCAGACUACACAAAAAAAAUAUUUCCAGCUUAGUCUCUUUUUAUUUUCAGUUUUUCAUUAUUUGUUAGGUGUUUUAAUAAUUAAAUAAUUGUUAAACUUAACUAAGCAACAGUUAUUUUUCUAAGGAGUGUAUUUGUUAAUGACCAUGUACUAAAUAGAGGCAGAACUAAAAUUUUACACAUCAGACUGGUCAUAAUUUGGAAAUACCAUCCUCAUUUGGAGAUAUUGCAAAAUUACCAUUAUUGCAUUCAGCUCUACCAUAUUUAGUGUUGAUACCGAGUAUGUGUUAACAGUAGUGAAUAACACUAACCUGACUUUGUUUUACAGAGGCUCAGAGGAGUAUCCUGGAUCAGUGCAGAACCCAUCAGAGAAAAUAAACCUUAUCAUCAGCAGCGUGAACAGGAUGCGGGUCAUCUUGUGUCUGUGCUCAGUUCUGUGCUGGAUGGAUUUGUGGUGUCUGUUCUUCAGGAGCCGGUUUCAGGAGAGUCCAGUCUUCCACAGAUACGCUGCCUCCUCACCAGGCUGGAGGUAGUAUCUCAGGCACUCCAUAAGGGCUCCCUUUCUGAGGGCCAGUCACUACAGAUCAAAGAGGAGGAAGAGGAAGUGAGUGAGGAAGAUUCUUCACUAAGGGACAGAGUUAAACACAUCCACACUUACCUGCAGGACAGGGUGGGUGCUCUGCGCUGCCUCCUGCAGGUUCAGGAUGAGUACGGCGGGUGUCUGGCAGAGGUUCAGCAGGGUCUGCAGGAGCACUGGGAGCUUCUGGAGGAUCUACACACCAGAGUAACCCUGCAGCCGGAUCAGCACCAGAACCCGGAGGACCCCAACACUGUUCUCUCGGAUACAGAGAGCCUCUACACACAGCUGGGUCUGUUUAGGAGGACGGUUAAUGAGUGUCAGACUCACCUGAACUCCUGUACACACCUACUGCAGGGUCUGGAGAGCAGGCAGAAGGUUCUGGCUGAGAAGGUGGGUUUAACACUGGACUCUACGUGGAUCAAAGACUUUGUUCAGUCUAACUCUCAACAGUUCAAAAAGGUGCAGGAGAACUUCCUGUCUCUGGAGCAGCAGACCCUGACCUUUGUGACCCACCUCAGAGGACUCAGAGCACCGGGAGACAGUGGCGGGUGUGAUCUUGAGCCCGUUCAGACAACGCCCUCAUCGCCUCUCUCAUCUGUACCGGUCUAUACCGCUGUUUUAUCCACAGACAGUACUGACCCUCACCUGGACCCGGACCUGGAUACAAAACCCCCACCCAGACCCAGCUCCAAACUUUCAGCUAUGAGCUGUCUGUGUGGAGUGAGACGCAGGAAGUGAUCUGACCUCUGAGUCAGUGUUUGUUCUAAUGAAGGUGUGAGCUUCAGAGCUUCUCAUGGACACCUAGCAGCUAGUAUAUAUAAUAUUAGCUACAGCAGUGAAAUAAUAAGCAGGUCUAGCAGGUGCAGGCAAGCGUUGUGCUCACUAUUAACAACACAAGAAGAGGUAGUACGUGUGUUUGUAUUUCCAUGUUUUGGAAAUGGAGCUACAGAACUACACUAAAAACUGAUGCACUGUGAAAGAAAGAGGUGGAGUGUUAUUCCUGCCCACAGAGCUCCCUGAUAGGUCUACUGGGCAAUAGAGGGACACGAUUUGUAUGUGGGAGAAUCACAGUAAUCACAGGAGAGGUGGGAUGCCUGUGUCUUUCUGAAUCCUUUUGGUCUCCAGGUUUCUAAUGUUGUGGGUUCAUUUAUUGCUGUGGUCUUUGCCUCUCAAAAAACCUUCAGUAGGUGAAGUGGCUAAAUGCUAAAUGCUAAAUUGUAUGUGAUACCCUGUGAUAGACUGGUGCCCAGUGAUUUCAGACAGGUUCUGGAACCACUGUGACCCUGAACAGGAAGAAGAAGAUGAGCAGAUAAAUGGAUUGAUUUUUUUUUUUUUGGGCAACUGCUAUCUAUCCUGCUCUAUACUUUAGAGCCUUUUGUUUUUUUUUUUGUUGAAGAGCAAAUUAAUCAUAAAGUGAGAAAAUGGCUCCCAUUAAAAUUGUGUAUUUCUAUUCAGCUUGUUUUUGAUGGAUUACUAUGAUUUAUAAUCAUGAUUCCACAUCAGUAACAAGAGAUUUAUUGAGUGUGGGUCUGUAAUACUUUACUCAGCUCUGGUAAAAAAUAUUUUUUAAGAGUCUAUAAUAGAGUUUAUAAUGUAUAGUGAUAUGAUGUGUGUUGUUGGUCCAGUUGCUGUUUUGCUGUUGUUUACCAGUAUGACAUUCUGACUUUAAUAUUUUAUUUAUUUAUGCUAGAUGUAGAAUAAAUUGCACUACAACUUAGCCUAUUUUCA
ensembl:lncRNA